rnacentral:antisense_RNA from 1 species
CCUUCGGGGUGACGCGGCGCAGCGGGACAC